GGCAUACACCACCAUGCCCAGCUAAUUUUUAUAUUUUUAGUAGAGGUGGGGUUUCACCACAUUGGCCAGGGUGUAAUGAUGGGUCUAUUUUAAAAGGUGUGGUCAGGAUUAAGGGAAACCAGUGAGGGGUAGUGAAGUUCCCUGGCUCUAGACACUGUUACCAUCCCUGUGGCUGAGAGAGGAGGGAAGAGGAGAGAGGGGUUCUGGAACCCAGACAGAGGAAUUGAAGUUGCUGGAGAGAGUGGAGAAGCCUGCUGUAGAGAAAGGCCGAACUGCAGAAAGGAACAUGGUCGACUUGAGCUGACUUGGCAGGGAAGGAGCCAAGGUACACAUAGCCUGACCUCAUUCUUCUUUCUCCCUCCAGGCUCUGCCACUAUUUCCCAUUGGCCAAACCCUACUAGAAGAGAAAGGCUAAGAAGCCCGCUGGUGCCAUCCAUACAGAAAAGAAACUACCACAGGGAAGAGAGAGAACAAUGGCGUUUUGAUAAAUGGAACAAAGAUAGAGUGUGACUGACAAUUCAGGUCAGAAGGAGAAUUAAGGCACAGGAAGACUGACGUCUGCCGGCCUCCCUGCCAAGAAGCAAAAACUCAGGGGGAGGCGUCCAGCCACAUGCGAACUGGCUCAACAGUGGCCAUUGUGUUUCAGCAGUUUUGUCGGAUGUUUUCUAUAAAAGAGCAUUUUUUCUUGGACUUGAAACAUUCUUAUAUGCAUGAUCGACACAUACAGUAGUAUUUCUGAGACCUAAGGAAGGAAGAACCGGAGGGAGGUUGUGGGAUUCCACUGAGAAAUGUUCUCCUUUGUCUCCUCGGAGAUCUUUGAAGAUGGUUCAGAUGAAGUUGCUGCCAGUGAAAGGAGCUAGGCUCAGAAACCUCUAGUUGCCCUUUCUAGACUUGUAAUCCUCUGAAAAAUGGAAAUUAGGAAGCGUUCAUUUAUGACCUUGAAAAAAAUCGUUUACAAAAGUAUAUUAUAACGUAUCAGUAAAACGA